rnacentral:lncRNA from 1 species
CCUGCAUCUACUUUAUUGUCCACUGAGGUUUGAACCCACAAGUUCUGGAUGGGUCAUGAGCCGUGGAGGAGAUGGCUUGAAUGAUGGUAUAUGAGUAAUCUAUUGCUAAUUACCACAAAAUUUAGAGUCUUAAAACAGGAGUGGUUAUUAUUUCGAACUUUCCGUGGGUCAAGAAUUCUGGUGCAGCGUAGCUGAAUGGUUCUGGCUCAGGGCCUCUAAAGAGGCUGUAGUAAAGAUGUUGGCUGGACUCUAAAGGCUUGACUGGGGAGUGGAUCUUCCAAGAUGGCUCACUCACAUGGCUGUUGGCCUGAGGCCUCAGUUCCUUGCCAUAUGGGCCUUUCUAUUAGUCAGCUUGAGUCUUUCCAUGACAUGGCAUUUGGCUUCCCCCAGAAUUUGUGAGGUAAGAGAAAGUGCCAGGAGGAAGCUGCAGUGCCUUUUAUGACCUAAUCUAGGAAGUCAGACACUGUCACUCCCACCACAUUCUAUUUGUUAGAAGUCAGCCACUAAGUCUGGCCCACACUCAAGGGAGGGCAAUCGGCUCUACCUUUCGAGUGGAGGACUAAAAAAGGAUUUGUGGACGUAUUUGAAAACCAUCACAGAUGAAUAGACAUCAUAUCCUUUUUUGCCGUGAUAAAUGUGGAAUAAUCAUCCUUAUAUGAAGAGGCUACUCACUUAUGCUGGAUGGGGCUGACUGCUGAUUUGGAUGCUUGAUGCGUGCUUGCCAAGGAGAAGGGACUUACACUGCUUUCUAAGUAUUUAUCAGUUCAUGGGCUGAGCUCUGCUGCCUGUCGCCUCCUUCUCACUCAUUCCUGAGCCCAAGCUGACAAAGAUACCAAGCAGCUCCAACCCCAGCGUUCUAGAAGGGGCAGGUCCUUAAUGACAGGAAAAAGAAUACAGUCAAGAAAUAAAGAAUGAAGAGAGAAAAUAAAGAAAACUUUAGAAGUGCAUAGUAAGAAAAAAUGAAAAAUAAACGGAAAGAAAUGACUUUCCCGACUCAGAACCGUGACUGGCUCUAGCAAGGAAGAAAAACCAGGACGCAGGAAGCUAAGGGCUUCAAAUUAUAUCCUAACCUUUUGCAUAUUAAAAGACAAAAAGACAUGAAGUGAAUAUGCCAGAAUGUUAACACUGGUUGAAUGUGGGUGGCAGGUACAGAGGUAUUUUUCAUGUUAUUCUCUGUACUUUUCUGAAGGACUGAAAUAUUGCAAAAUGUAAAAUAAUGCCAAGGGGAAAUAAAAAGAAGAAAAAUGUAUCAUCUCACUGUAGGUUCCCCAAUUCCUCCCCUUCUCAGGCCCUGCUAAGAGAUGUGGAGCAUUUUCCUAGAGCUAAUAUAUUGGAGAUCCCUGAAAAACAGGUUUCCUUAAAAAAAAUCAAACAAAAUAAAAUAAAAAUGAAAGCUAAAACCUGCUUGAUUUCUUUCGCAUAUUGUCUGCUUCUUUUCACUUUUGAAAUCCUUAGUCUCCUGUUCAUUUUGCAUUUGUUUCUAUUGGUGCCUGUGAAUUAAGCAGACCAGCCCCAGGAUGCUGAGACACA